rnacentral:lncRNA from 1 species
UUAAGAUAUAUUGUUCUAAUCGAACGAAUGAUCUGAUUAUUGAUAGGUUGUGAUAAAGAGAUAAAACCUAAGUUGAGAUUUGUAAUCAGCGAAUCAGGCAAGUAUCCUACCUUUGCAUUUCCUUUAUGCAAUGGACAUGAGUAAGAAGUUUCAGAAUUAUUCUAUUCCUGUACAGAUUAUGUACGCUUUGAUUAUCAACAUGUUAGCUCAGAUAUAUAUUCUGUUAAGUUGAUUUCUAAAUGGUUAUACAAGUGUCCCCACUUGGAUAAUCAUGGCAUUUAUUCACAUGUUGAUAUACCUUUGUCAAUUACCCGUAUACAUAUAUGUUGAAUUACAUAUUAUUGUUGAGCAAGAUUAAAAACCUUCGGGUUUGGAACCAGGCAUGUAUGAACAUC